rnacentral:rRNA from 1 species
GAUGAACGCUGACAGAAUGCUUAACACAUGCAAGUCUACUUGAACUUCGGUUUGGGUGGCGGACGGGUGAGUAACGCGUAAAGAACUUGCCUCACAGAUAGGGACAACAUUUGGAAACGAAUGCUAAUACCUGAUAUUAUGAUUUUAGGGCAUCCUAGAAUUAUGAAAGCUAUAUGCACUGUGAGAGAGCUUUGCGUCCCAUUAGCUAGUUGGAGAGGUAACGGCUCACCAAGGCGAUGAUGGGUAGCCGGCCUGAGAGGGUGAUCGGCCACAAGGGGACUGAGACACGGCCCUUACUCCUACGGGAGGCAGCAGUGGGGAAUAUUGGACAAUGGACCAAGAGUCUGAUCCAGCAAUUCUGUGUGCACGAUGAAGUUUUUCGGAAUGUAAAGUGCUUUCAGUUGGGAAGAAAAAAAUGACGGUACCAACAGAAGAAGGGACGGCUAAAUACGU